rnacentral:rRNA from 1 species
GACGAACGCUGGCGGCGUGCUUAACACAUGCAAGUCGAACGGAAAGGCCCUGCUUUUGUGGGGUGCUCGAGUGGCGAACGGGUGAGUAACACGUGAGUAACCUGCCCUUGACUUUGGGAUAACUUCAGGAAACUGGGGCUAAUACCGGAUAGGAGCUCCUGCUGCAUGGUGGGGGUUGGAAAGUUUCGGCGGUUGGGGAUGGACUCGCGGCUUAUCAGCUUGUUGGUGGGGUAGUGGCUUACCAAGGCUUUGACGGGUAGCCGGCCUGAGAGGGUGACCGGCCACAUUGGGACUGCGAUACGGCGCAGACUCCUACGGGAGGCAGCAGUGGGGAAUAUUGCCCAGUGGGCGGGAGCCUGAUGCAGAGGCGCCGCGUGCGGGAUGCCGGCCUUCGGGUUGUAAACCGCUUUCGCCUGUGACGAAGCGUGAGUGACGGUAAUGAGUAAAGAAGCACCGGCUAACUACGUG